ensembl:lncRNA
GGAGGAGGAGGGCUCAGUAAGAAUUUUCAGUUAGAUCGCUUCCUCAUGUAGGACGGUCGGGGCAGCCUUACGAACAAAGAUUAAACAAUCCGAGAUGGAGGCAGUGAAUUUAACAUUCAUUAAGCUAAAUCUUUUCAUCUGUAUUCCCACUGUGGUGUAUUUAGGACUUGCUAAAUAACCCGUGCAGAGAGCAGUGACCAAGCUCUAUUAAUGAAGAACCGAGGAAGAACAGAAGUUUUUUUACCCACAACAAAGUUUCAGGAGUCAGUACAGCUACAAAGCUUUUUGGCUACGUUCACACUGCAGGCAAAAGCUCAUCAAAUCCGACUUUUUUGACCCUAUGCGACCCAUAUCCGAUCAUGAAAGCAACUGCUGUUUGAACGGUCAUGUCGCUGACACAAGACAGACGCCAAUUAUCAGCGCCGGAGAAGACAUCGCGAACGCUUCCUGGCCAUCCAGUGUAGAUGUCAGUGAAACUGUUGGGAAGACAACGUUGGAGAAACGUGAACAUUUUAUUUGUACUGUAUAAUCUGCAGAUUCUGACAGAAAUCUGCAACUAUCCUUUGAAGCACCGCUUCUCUAAAACAGCAACAAGGAUCAUUAUUAGGACAUAUGUAAAUAACAAAAUAACUUUAUAAAAAGCAAAAUUGGGAAACAAAGUCCGAGGCAAGUCUUUAUACUAAGGGCCAUCAAUCAAACAGCACUGUUUGGUCUGGGUCUAAACAGAGCACGUUGUGUGUGAAUUGAAGAAAGGCAUACACAAAGCUCUUCCUCCACAGCUCUUAAUCUCUCCCUGAUUUUUAGUUUUUGUGGCAGCCAUGUUCGAAAAGCUUUGCUCACAUAUGUUGUGGAAAAUGGGAGCAAUGUCAAAAUGUCUCUGUUUGCCAGAAUGGGGAACUCCUUGGCAGCAGUCAACCAAAAACUGUCCAAAGAUAGAUCAGCAAAGCUCAGCUUUAAACCACGGUCUUGUCUCAGUUCAGUUAGUUCCUCCUGUUCCUGAAAAGUCAUAUCCUUUCCGAAAACUGCUGCUGAGCUAUAUGGGUCCCUUACCCAGUCAAGGCAUUCAGUGGAGACUGAGGGGAAAUAAAUGGACAACUUCUCCUCAAGCGUUUUCAAAUGUUUACCUAUUAUUUCACACAGUGUGGCAGUUUUGAUAUCUCCUUGCCAUUUCUGAGUGAGUGGGGACAUGCCAAGGUUGGCAUUUUCCAGAUGUUGUUGCCAGAGAUGCACCUUUGAACGUAAUCCAUUUAUUUUAUCUGUGCUUGUGAGCAGUACCAAUCGGACUGAUGAAACAAAGAGCAAUUUCUAGAAUGGAAAGAAAUGAGCAGUUCACUUUUAAAUGAUCCACAUUUAUUUUUUCUACAUGCAGCCUGGGUGGGGUGAUUUUGAGGACCCAAAAUGCAGACAAGAAAUACAGGCAGUAGUUUAAAAAUAGGUAAUUUAUUUGGCUGUGAAAAAUGAGAUGCAAACAAAGACUGCGUGAAAGGAGGGAAUUUAAGACUAAAUACAAAUGAGAUAAAAUCAAUGCAAAGGAGAUAAGAAGAUAAAUAUACAGAAUGUGAGAAACAAUAACUAAAUGGGGAAACACAGAAACAGGAAUGAACUUCAAUUUUAACAAAUAACUAGAGAAUGGAACAAACACAGGGAACAGAAUGCAACCAGGAACUAACAACUCGAGGCUAAAUAAAGUAAGGCAGCCAUUCAUAAAGUCAAGAGUGCUGCUGUCCACUUAAAAACCAGAAAAUGACAAUAUUCUUCACUUGAAUCAAACUACAAAAGAAAGUGACAUUGAUUUUAAAACUGUAUUUAAAAAAAAUCAUCAACAACAGAGGCUGCUGGCUCUAAAUUGCUGCCCAGUCAUGUGCAAAGUGUUAAUGCUGAUGAUGUGACCAACCUGCCGCUGGGACACAAAAUUUCAAUACAAGGGCAAUAAAUCUGGUCCAGGGUAAUGAGUAAUAUUACACACUAACCACCUCCUAUUACCAAUUUUAUUUUGCCAAAUCCGUUUAUACAUGUGUGUAACUCUGUAUUUCUGUUACUACUGUGGCCCACCUGUAGUACAUUUGCAGUCCACAAGGGGUCGUUGGCCCACACUAUGGGAAUAACGCAGUAAGGAAAUACAUGGAGAAGCAAAUAUAAACAAUAAGCAAAUAAAGAAUGAAAAAAAAGUUUAAAUAAAGAAAACUUGUAUGAUGAUGGUGAGGGACAUGAUGGGCUGGCAGAGCAACAGUUUCCAUUAAAGACUCGGACAGAAACCUGCAAAAGCACACUGAUGGUAAACAACAUGCACUGACAAAAUCAUGUAAUAUGUCUAAUAAAAAUCUAAUAACGUGAAA